AAGUCAUACUAUGAGGCACAGCUGUCACAACAUCUGACAAAUAUUCACAGCCAAGGAUAUGACCUAGCAAGUCUGAAUGCACUUUCUCAUUUUUCUCAUAUUUUCACAUUUAUCUCUCCUUCAUUCAGAAGCAUUUGUCAAUCUGCCUCUAUCCAUGGCAGCCCUUCUUAUUUUAAUGUUCUCACUCUUACCCACAAACUAAAUUUACAUUUCUUGCUGUUAUAAAUUUUAUAUUUUUGUGUGUGGAGAAACAUUCCAUCAAGAAGACUGAAGCCCAGUAAACUCCCAAAGACAAGACUUUCAGAAGGUCUGAAGACAAGUCACAUCAAACCACUGACCUAAGAAAAAUGGAAUUAAUGUUGCAACUGCAUUCUCCUAACUUCUCACUGGACUUGAGAUGGCUGCUUGCUUCACUAUGGGUCCUAAGGUUACACAGGAAGGCUUCUGCCAGACACUUUCUGCCAGGUUUCCAAUGGCAGGUAUGGUCAAGAGAGACACUGGAAGAUGGAAGUUACUUCAGUGUUCCAGUUGCUGGUGUAGCCAGGGCUUCACAGCGUGGAAGUAUGGCAUCAUGAUGUCUACUGCACAUCUAUUCCCAACCCCAUAUUCAGUUGUUUCAUGUAGUCUCUUGAAAUCUAUGGAAACUAGAAAACACUACAAAUAAAGCCUUGAUUUAUUGUUUUGUUGAUUGUCUUGACUUAAGAAACUGAUAGACAAUGUGUUAUUAAUGCAGAUUAAACUUAAAAAUGUUUACCUCAGUGGCCGUUAUACUGUGAAUACCACAAAAACUGAGCAAAUAUUUUUCUAGUAUUUGAAAAGUAUUAUCCAAUUCAGCAAAUAAUGUCACUUUUAAGUGAAUAAAGUAUGGGCAUGCCUUCAUUGCUUUAGUUUCUUGUUACUUGUAAACACACACAAGUAUAGCAACCUAACAUUUAUGCUUAAACUAUACUCAGUAGUCAAUUACAAUCAUAGAUUAGCUUUGGCCAUAAGAGAUCAGCAAAAAUCAACAAAGCAUAUCAAUUGGCUAUAUGAAAUUUUCAAUGUGCAUUGUAUGUUUUGUUAUUAUUUUAAAAUUGUGUUAUAUUUUUUAACUUUAAAACUUACAACACAAAUAUGUAAGUAUAUGUGUAUAUACACAUGCAUACACACACUCACAAUUGAGGGUUUUUGGCGUAGAAGGAGACAAACCAGAGGUUAAACAUUUGCCAGCACAUCACUGCUGAUAACUAAGCUGCUACUGUAUAACAAAUACCUGUUGAGGAAUAUGUGUCCCACACACUGCCCAUUUAUUUUGAUUUGGAAUAGUGAAUUCUUUAUGUCACAAAAGCCUUCAUAUUAUAGAGGUUUCUAGGUGAAAACAUAUUUUUUAAAGUGCCUAUCAUUGAUGGUAAGAUUGGAGACCCUUUUUAGAUACCCUUAAAUCAGAUCUGAUAAAAUUUGACUAUCCAUAUGUUUUUUAUCCAGUAACAGAGGAUCAGUAACAAGUUUAUAAUUUGCUGGAAUUUCUUGAACAGCAAACAAAAGACAGUUUGAGUCCUGGGUUAGUUUAUAUUUAUAUUUUAACCAUUGAUAACUCAUUUUACUUCUCUGAAAAUGCAAAAUAAAGAAAUACACUAUUUUACUAGUUCUCAGACAUAACUGCAUAUCAAAAUCACCUCCCAAACUGUUCAGAUCAAGGGGUUCUGUCCCUCUAAUCAGAUCUAUGAAAACAGAAUUUCUGUAAGUGGAACCAACAAAUUGGAUCAUAGGAUGUUUAUGCCAGAUGUAGAACCCCUGUACCUCUAAAAGCCUUGCAGGUCAUGAAGUUAUAAUGGUAAACUGGCAGUAAGGAUGUGGAUGCAACACAUUUAUAGGAAUGGAUUGUCAAUAAUUUACCCAUUUCCUGGCUCAUAUUUGUUUCUUUGCAUAUAUACUUCUGGUAUAUAUGCUGUGACCUCUUACUGUAUUUCAUAUUCUAGUAUUUCCCCCAUUAUAUAAUCAAUGCUGCUAUAAAUAAUUAUUAACCACUUUUAAAUUAAAAAAUUAUAUAUGUCAGUAUUUCUAAAAUCUUAUGCAUAAAAUAUUUUGAGAAAUUGUGACAAAUCUUUACUAAAACCAAGAUUUUCUAAGGCUGAGACAGUCACUUUAUCAACAGCUUGGUAAUUAUAUGAAUAAAAGAACACUAGUUU
rnacentral:lncRNA from 10 species